ACGCUGGCGGCGUGCUUAACACAUGCAAGUGGAGCGACGAACCGGGCUUGCCCCGGGGCAGAGCCGCGAACGGGUGAGUAACACGUGGGUAACCUGCCUCAAUGAUUGGGACAACCCGGGGAAACUCGGGCUAAUACCAAAUGUGUUCACUCCUUCCAAGGGGAGUGAGGAAAGGAAGCUUCGGCCUCCGCAUUGAGAUGGGCCCGCGGCCCAUUAGCUUGUUGGUGAGGUAACGGCUCACCAAGGCUUCGAUGGGUAGCUGGUCUGAGAGGACGAUCAGCCACACUGGGACUGAGACACGGCCCAGACUCCUACGGGAGGCAGCAGUGGGGAAUCUUGCACAAUGCGCGAAAGCGUGAUGCAGCAACGCCGCGUGGGGGAAGACGGCCUUCGGGUUGUAAACCCCUUUCAGUUGGGACGAAGCUUCGUCGGUGAAUAGCCGGUUGGAGUGACGGUACCUUCAGAAGAAGCCCCGGCUAACUACGUG
rnacentral:rRNA from 1 species